rnacentral:rRNA from 1 species
GACGAACGCUGGCGGCGUGCCUAAUACAUGCAAGUCGACCUUAGUGGCGAACGGGUGAGUAACACGUGGGUAACCUGCCCAUCAGAAGGGGAUAACAUUUGAAAACAGGUUCUAAUUCCGUAUAUUGAUGGAUGGACGUGCGGUGCUUUCGCUAGUUGGUGAGGUAACGUCUCACCAAGGCCACGAUGCAUAGCCGACCUGAGAGGGUGAUCGGCCACAUGGGGACUGGGACACGGCCCAAACUCCUACGGGAGGCAGCAGUAGAGAAUCUUCGGCAAUGAACGGAAGUCUGACCGGGCAACGCCGCGUGAGUGAAGAAGGUUUUCGGAGCGUAAAACUCUGUUGUUAGAGAAGCGGUAUCUAACCAGAAAGCCACGGCUAACUACGUGCCAGCAGCCGCGGUAAUUC